rnacentral:rRNA from 1 species
UACGAAGGGGGCUAGCGUUGCUCGGAAUCACUGGGCGUAAAGCGCACGUAGGCGGAUUGUUAAGUCAGGGGUGAAAUCCUGGAGCUCAACCCCGGAACUGCCUUUGAUACUGGGUAUCUCGAGUCCGAGAGAGGUGAGUGGAAUUCCGAGUGUAGAGGUGAAAUUCGUAGAUAUUCGGAGGAACACCAGUGGCGAAGGCGGCUCACUGGCUCGGUACUGACGCUGAGGUGCGAAAGCGUGGGGAGCAAACAGG